rnacentral:rRNA from 1 species
GUUGUAUGGUUAAGUGACUAAGCGUACACGGUGGAUGCCUGGGCAGUCAGAGGCGAUGAGGACGUACUAACUUGCGAUAAGCGCAGAUAAGGCAGUAAGAGCCGUUUGAGU